rnacentral:rRNA from 1 species
UACGAAGGGGGCUAGCGUUGUUCGGAAUUACUGGGCGUAAAGGGCGCGUAGGCGGCCGAUUAAGUUAGACGUGAAAGUCCUGGGCUCAACCUGGGGACUGCAUUUAAUACUGGUUGGCUUGAAUUCGGGAGAGGAUAGCGGAAUUCCCAGUGUAGAGGUGAAAUUCGUAGAUAUUGGGAAGAACACCGGUGGCGAAGGCGGCUAUCUGGACCGACAUUGACGCUGAGGCGCGAAAGCGUGGGGAGCAAACAGG